AUAUUACGUGCACAUACUUCAGUAAUCAUAAAAGCUGUUUCAAUGAGAAACUGCAAGUAAUACCACAAGUUUGUUUUGGAAUGGAAUGAGGAUCCUGGACGAUUGUUUGAGAAAAUGCUUUCAUCAGGAAAGAGAAGAAACUGCGGGACUAAUUCGGUAGUCUUACAAGGAGUUCAAUUCGUGUAUUUUUUUGUUUCGGUUUCGGUUUAUAUGUAUAUGUGAAAUAUCAUAAUGAUUUCUAUUUUUAGUCGGUUAGGUUUCGUUUCGGUUUCAGUGUAUAUGUGAAAUAGCUUCGACCCUGGCUGUAUGGGUAAGUAGUACUCUUUUGCAGAAAUAUCAACAGAAAAAUGUAAGAAGAAAGAUGAAAGCAAAUAUUUAAUUUGAUCCUGUCAGCAGAUACAUGUACUGACUUACAAAAGGAGCAAUCAUAACACUUGAAAUCUAUUAAGCGAUUGAUGUAUACGGCCCGUUUAGUCAUUUGCCACAAAUGACACGGCACAUUCAUUGGAUAUACCCCAUUUGUUCAGAAAACUAUAAAACUCAAACUAUACAGUGCGUUCACUUGUUAGUUUGUAUAAUUAAUAGAUGCAAAUAGUGUAAAACUAGGUAAAGUUAUGGUCAAAACGACCUUUGUAAAAUCAAUAAAAUAAAUGUCGCAAUGUGUGAAACAGGAUAGUAUCCACUAGAGACAUACUCGGAACGGCGUUGAAUUAGACUUUUCGCUAAAUGUUUACAAACCCGAAUAAUGCAAUGAUUUUGUCAUAGAAGUAACACUAUAAACAAGAACUGUUACAAUAAUUAUUUUAUUAUCUGAUGAGAUAUUUUCAAACGUUUACAAAAAUCUCAUUCGCCAGUCGGGCUGUACAGAAGUGUUUGGAUAAACGCAACAUAUCAGCUUAAUGAACACAUGUGCUAUGAAACCUACUGAUGUCUGUUCCAGGUCCAUCAUACUUAAAACCCCCAAAAGGUGUCUUUUUCAUCCUUAUUAGUCACCUCUUUCCGCGUAAAAUACACUGCUCAAACAACGUUGGAACCACUUGAAUUGAUGAAGCUAUGGCCAAUUUGAUUUUCGCAUGAGUGCAACAUCUAAUACUUUAUAUAAAACAUACACCAACGCAUGCACGCACGCACGCACACACGCACACACACACCAAAAAGAAAAAAAGAAAGAAAUCAAGAGGGUUAUGAUGGCCCUAUAUUUCUCACCUGAGUUUAGUUGCUUGCUUGAACAAAUUUCUUUUCUAAAGCUUCAAAAACAAAACAAACUAGAUAAGUAGGUCAUGGUAAAGAUCAUUAAAAACACUACUGAAAUCUGUUAAAAAUUAUACAGGUCGUCCAAAUAUCUUUGCUGUAGCUUCAAAAUCAAGACAGUAGGUCAGGGUUAUGAGUAUUAAAGAUGAGUAUUGGAAUCUGUAUUAAAAGUUAUACACGUGGUCCAAAUUUCUAUGCUGUACCUUCAAAAACAAGAAAGUGGGUCAGUAGGCCAGUAGGUCAUGAUUAAGACGAUUCAAGAUGAGUAUUGAAAUCUGUAUAAAAAGUAUACAUGUUGUCCAAAUGUCUAUGCUGUAACUGCAAAAACAAAUAUUUAGGUCAGCAGGUCACAAUUAUGUCUAUUCAAGAUGAGUAUUGAAAUUUGUGUCAAACAUAAUAGUUGUGGUCUAAAUUUCUUUGUCUUUGCUUCAAAAACAAAUUAGUCUAUGUAAAACAAGGGACCCGGGCGUGGCAUAUAUUGAACCCAGAGUCAUUUUGAACAAUCUUGGUAGUAAACCACUAGAGCAUGCCACAUACUAAAUAUCUAAGCUCUGGGCCUUAUGGUUUGAGACAAGAAGUUUUUAAAGGCUUUUCCCUAUUCAAGUCUAUUUUAACCAUGUGAUCCCACUCCCGGGGCAGGGCCAGUUUAACCAGAGGGGGGAUAAUUUGAACAAUCUUGGUAAAGGACUACUACGCGAUGCUACAUACAAAAUAUCAAAGCCGCCCCAGCCGCGUGGUUUUGUACAAGAAGAUUUUCCCAAUAUAAGUCUAUAUAAAUCAUGUGACCCACAGGGCGGGGCCAUAUUUGAUCCUAGGGAAAUAAUUUGAAUACUCUUAGUAGAGGAGUACUAGAUGAUGAAACACACAAAAUAUCAAAGCCCUAGGCCCUGUGGUUUUAGACAAGAAGAUUUUCAAAGUUUUUCCCUAUAUAAUUAUAUAUAUACAAUGUGACCCCAAGGGCGGGGCCAUAUUUGACCCUAGGUGAAUAAUUUGUACAGUUGCAAUUGCAACCAGAGUUCUGUAUGGAAUUCAAUUCUUUGAGCAAGGUUUAAACAAGAUCAUCAACGGAAAAUCCCUGUGAAGUUUCAUCAAAAUUGGCCUGGUGAUUUUAGUAGGACGAGAUGUUGUUUAAAGUAAACUGUGGAUGGACGACAGACGCCGGACGACAGACGGACGGACGGACGCCGGACGGUAAGCGAUCAAAAUAGCUCACCCUCAGCAAGGUACUCAGGUGAGCUAAAACAUUACCCAAAAUUCAAUGAGAUAAUUGAAUAUUUUACUCAGAUGAAUUAUCGACCAGUAUUCAUCAAUGCAGAUAGCCAAUAAAUGCUACGGAUAGCUGCAUUGAUCAUGAAUGAUUAUUUCUAUGUAACAUUAUUUGUUCAGGUGUCAUCGCUAUUGACCUGUGUGUUGAAUGACUGAAACAUCGUGAUCUACCCAUGAAUCACUAAGUUUCGCACAGCGUGUUAAUGUUCAGUGUAUUUUGAAACACAAGUAAAGUUGAUAUGGAUUAAUUUGAAUAGACGUUUUACGUGAUAUAUGCUAGAAACACAAACAUUAACCUGUUUUAAAGGGAAAUUUAAGUGACGAAAGGAUUAAAUUCCUUCUAAUUAUAGAAGGUAUGCGCAGUUAAUCAUAUAUACAUGUACUAAGAUAACAUACAUGCACAAUUUGCACACCUUUGCCACUUUCACCAACGCAUGCAAGUUUACGAAAUUUCAAUGAAAUGUAAACAAUCACGGAUCUUUUAUCUAUUACGAUAAAAAAUGUUGAUAUCUCCGAAUAAAGCGACUCGUUCACACUUUUUAGAAGAAGGUUAAAUUAUAAAUAAAAUGAUGGUGCUAUAAAAGUAACCAGUGGCACAAACUUAUUGACAUAUGAAUUUUGUAAGAUAUCUUAUAGAUUAUUGUGUAGAAGCAACUAAACUUCUGUAACAUUUUUAUUUAAUGGAAAAAAUCAACAUUCUUCUUGUUUUAUACACACGUUUAACACUUAUUUUACAUACUUUGUCAUUUUUCAGUGUCAUAUUGCAGUCGAUGCAAAAAAGAAUAUUCCCAGUAAAAUCCCAACGUAAGAUGACAUUGUGCUUAUACUUGUCUUGUUUAUUAACAACGCCUCAUUGACUUUCUUGAUGUUUUUAUAAAGUAGGGCAUAUUCAGAAACUAAAAAGUGUUAGUAAGUAUAUUUUAUUCAUAAAGUAAAAUAAAGACUAAAAAGUGUUCGUAAGUAUAUUUUAUUCAUAAAGUAAAAUAAAAUCAAUGACAUGUUAUGUCUGUAGUAGAUCUAACUUGUUAUCAAAUCGUCGUUAAUUCAUAUAUAAAACUAUAGAUGUAACAUUUAUUUCCCACUAGUUACCAUUCGAAGGCGAUACUUUGUUCUUUUGUUUCUUCUAUGUCUGCCUUUAAAUGAAACAUUGCCUUUAAAAGUUAUUCUUUUGGUCGAUUUUGGAUCAGUCUGUGAUUCUAAAGGAGCCCUUUCUUAUUUCGAUAUUCGAUAUUGUUUUCAUUUGUUAGCAGUUGUAUACACAAACUAUGUACAACGCUAUUUGGUAAGUCUCAUACAAACUAUUAUGUUGUUCGUUAAAUACGUAAAACAGUCUCAAGGCCGUAAUUAGGCAUAAUACUUUUUUGUAAGAUAGAAAAAAUGUACCAGUUCUUCAUAACACAUUACUUUAUAUACAACUUAAACAAGAUUAAGGUGUGGAUUCUGAACGUAUAUAGGUUAAAUGAUCUGUUAUAAAGCUUUUGAUAUUUUGAAAUCGAUUUGGUUGACAUAAUGGAUAUUUUAAAUGGGCUUUUAUUUCUAAUGUGAACAGAAAAUGGAUAAAUCACCGGUGCAGAUAGGGUGACUCAUGGAUGCGAAUGCGUCACCUACGAAUUACUGUAGGGAUUUACUAAAUUAGCUAAAAUGCUGAACAUAGUGACCAAGUUUUCUCUUAAUUGUUUUAGGCAUUCCUCGGACAAUAAUGAGUUUGGUAUUUGAUAUUUGUCAUAAUCCGCAGCUGUUUCGCAUCGAUUUCAAGCGUAAACAUGGCACCAGGUGUUGAUUCCUGCACAAUAAAUUUCACAUAUUCGUGAUCUUUAACAUAGCCUAAGCUUUUAUUAUUGUUUAGUCUAUCACUUUGUUUUGACAUUUCCGAAUAUAGAAAAUGUAGCGGCUUGUAGUUAGACAAAUGUACAACAUGAAUCCCGUACAGGUAGGGUAGCCUACCCGCAUUACAAACAUUCCGAAAACGCGAGGACAGCAGAUAGAGGGUCACUCUCAGGCGACUUUUCCUAUAGGUAACUAGAGCAUUGUUUACAAGAUUUCGAAAACGAAAGUAGAAGUAUAUAUUUAACCUUAAAAUCUAUAUUAAGCUGGGAUCCCUAAAGAACGAAAGUUCAAACGCAAAUAAUCAUGCAGCACUCUGUAUACAUGUGCACACAAAUUGUGAAUACAUCUGCACAAAUCAAAUACGAAUGGAAUAAUUAUAUUCCAAAUGUAAUAAACAGGUACAUACAUGAACUAUUAAACACGUAAGUUUUAAAAUCCAGUUUGUAUUUAAGAUUUGCGAAAACAGUAAACUGAUCCAAAUACUUACUUAUUACCAUGAAUUUAAUCAAAAAGUUCAGUAUAAGGCACCGGGUUGACCGUUGAAAGCAGGUUGGUUAAAAUGAAAAAUAGCAGUAUUUGAAAUUUGACUUUUAGGUCACCUUAGCAGAAGUGCUCAGUGUGAGCUAUUGUGACCGGUCAUUGUCCGACGUCUGUCGUCGUCCGUCAAUAUUUGCUUUGUUAACACUUUGGAGGCCACAGUUGUGACCCAAACUUUAUGAAACUUGGUCAGAAUAUGUGUCUUUUUUGAUCUCUAGGUCAAGUUUGAAAUUGGGUCAUUUGGGUUAAAAAAAACUAGGUCAGUAGGUUAGGUCGAAGGAAAAUCUUUUUAACAUUCUUCAGUCCACAGUUUAGGUUUGAAACUCAUGAGAAUUGGUCAGAAUGUUUAUCUGUACCUGGGUCAUGUGGGGUCAAAAACUAGCUCACCCGGUCAAAUCAAAGGCAAAGCAUGUUAACACUCUAUAAACCUGUCUUCAUGAAACUUGGUCAGAAUGUUUAUCUUAAUGAUCUUUAGGCCAGGUUUCAAACUUGGUCAUGUGGGGUCAAAAACUAGGUCACUAUGCCAGAUCAAAAGAAAAAAAAGUUUGUUGACAUUCUAGAGACCACAAAACUAGGUAACGUGCUCAAAUCACAUGAAAAGCCUGUUAUUAUUCUAGAGGCUACAUUUAUGAUCCUAUCUUUAUGAAACUUGGUCAGAGUGUUUAUCUUGAUGAUCUGUAUGCCAUGUUUGAAUCUAGGUCAUGUAAGGGUCAAACCUGUCAAAUUGAAGGAAAAGCCUGUUAACAAUCUAGAGGUUAUAGGCUCAAUUACUCAGAUGAGUGAUUCGAUCCAGGGUCAUCAUCAAAAAGAUAGUUUGGUUAUCAAAUCUUACCUUACUUCGAUCGUGUUCUUUAGUCAGAUUGCUCUAUCUGUGUUUUUCAUCGUUCAAGCUUCUACUUGGGUUAUUCUCUGUUUUGUUCUUGACGAAAUUUUGUCAUAAAACCCAAAUGUUCCUGCACUACUAAAUUCAUUUUAAGAUCAUUUAACGCUUUAUCAUUACACCAUACGAAUUUUGUGUUUUUUUUCUUUAAGAAAUCUUGCAACGUCGCGGAGAUCGUAGACCUGGCGCUGUACUGAACUAAUCCUAGGAAGCUACGCAUUCGGCUCAUUUGCUGUGGCUCCCAUGCAUUUAAAACAGAGUUUACCUUGCACCGCAUUAUAAGAUACAUAACCGUAUGUCACUGACAGACCACUUACUGGUUCAAUUAUAUUGAAGUGCUCAAGCUUUUUCGAUUUGAUUCUAAUCUCUCACUCAUCCUUAGAGGCUUUUAUAUACAGUUGCCGUAUGAGGCAGACGUGUUUUCUUUGCUCUUGAAUCUUACCAUAAUAACUCUGUUAUUUGGAUAUAAUGGAUAUGAAUGUACUGGCAUCUUUCUGUGCUUUUAUGUCGCUAUAUCUUCAGUGAUUUGGUGGCUUGCAUCCAGUGAAAUGUUUUAUACUUUUCUUCAUGAAUUUACAUCAGACAUCACCUGUCGUUCACCUGUAAAGUAUACCUUCACUAGAGAUCAAUCACUGAAUAUUAGAUAAACGGUAUUGAACAAAAGGGGAAUAGAGAAACUAAAGCCUGUGGCAUGUAGGAGUCAAUCUGACUUAAGUACUUGAGUAUUCUGGAUUUCCAGUAUUGCUAUUUUUAUUUUAACCAAUCAGACAACUUGUUCGAAUGUCAAAGAGUAAGAAAAAUGUACAGUAAUUCCAGGGCUCGAACCCGGGACCCCUCACUUACAAAGCAAGUGGCCUACCGACUGAGCUAACCGGCUAUCUGACACAAUACGACAUAAGAAUUGUAAAUAUCAAAAGUCAAGGUUACAGAUGGAUUUGCAAAAUGUUGUAAGUUAAGCUCUGAUUGGCUAGCGAAAGGGUCGUCAAAACAAGGCUAUGAAUAGGUCGUUCUCAGAUCCUAUGCGUAGCGUAAUAGGAGAUGUACUUUAGUCAGAUUGAUGUAGGAGUAUAAACGUACACAAUAUAGUUUGUAAAAAGAAAACGCACAGAAGUAAACGAGGUGGUAAAAGUAAAGUAAUUCCUAAACAAAAUGGUGUGAACUUCAAAAAUUUGAUAUACCAUAAGCAAUGUAAUCAGUACAAAAGAUAAGUGAACAUGUAUCCUGCAUUACUCUGAACUGUAAAUCUGUUUAGACCAUAGACGAUUUUGUGGGCCCAUACCUCAGGGAUGAGAACAUAGAUUUCGCUCUUUUGACUAAAACUUGGUACUCGGACGAGAAACAACAUCAAUUUGAAACUUCUGACUUGAACCAGAAUAGUGUAAAUUAAGUGUUGCUAAUAAAAAUUCAAAAAGGUGGUGGUGUUGCGAUCACUUGUAGAAACACGAUCAAUUUUUAAGAGUAACUCACGGUACUGUUAAUAUUUGGGAAACUUGUUUUCAAAGAUUUGACCAUACACGUAGUGGGUGUGUAUAGACCCCCGGCUCUAUCGACAGGUAACCAUUUUAUUUUUUAAUGUUUUGACUUCACCAAAAACAUCUUACCACAUUAAGAAAAUUUACUUAUAAUGGGUUAUGAAUUUAAGAUCUUCAAAUGUGCACAUUUUAAGAUCAAAAUUUGAGGCCGAGGAAAAUAAACAGAGAAAAUGUAGUUUAGUAUACCAGCGUGGGUUAGAUUUUAUAAUAAUUGCAGUGAUGAAAGGUUAUUGGUUUGUAUUUUAAAGGUCUCAGCGAGAAAUACGAAGAUAUGCAGUUAGCAGAAAAAUGUGAUCCUUGAAUGAUAUUGAAAAAAGAAAACAACAUCAUUUGCAAAACACAUUUGCGUCGCCUGCGAAGAGAAUCUAUGCGAAGAGUGUGUGAAAAUCCAUGCGAGAAGAAAAUCUACUGCAUUCCACACAUCGAUUGCAAUACCUAAUACAACGGAUCGUCCAGGAAAACCUAGACCCAUAGCCGUACUUUCUGAUAAUUAUCACUUUGUCGUGGGAGCCACCGUUAGUUUUCGGAGAUGAUGACUAUUAUCAGAUCAGCUACAAUGAAAUUGGCCAUGACAGAAGAUGGAGAUAUUUUCCUGGCGAAUACAAGGAAACAACCGCUACAUUGUCAAAAUUGAAAACUAGAUCUAAUGCCUCUUUCGUCUUUCGUGUUAAAGCUGUAUAUUUAGAUAGAGCGGGACCUUACAGCGCAGACAGCGAUGCUUUGACUACAUGUCAAUCUCCCGCAUUUCGUUUUGCAACCGUUUCCGCGAAUGAAUUGAAUGCUGACUCCUCACCAACAAUAUUUCCAGUACACAUGACCAAGAUAACGUCAGCAAGACAUAAAGCCGGGAAAAUACGGACAUUUGAAAUUGGUGAACCUCUAGUAGGGAUAGACAAGUCCAAAACAAUCAUACUGGUUGGAGCUACUGGAAAUGAUAGAGUACUCUCGUUGACGGAAUAAUCAACUCUAUGCUAGGCGUUAAUUGGGAUGAUACAUACAGGUUUACCGUUAAAUAUGUAACUAAAGGGGACGCAGAGAGAAGGGAUAACAAGGCCUUAAGCCAAGAAGACUGGAUAACAUGUUAUACACUCAAUCCCGAAAAUGGUAGUCGUCUUAGCUAUCAACUAGAGACGUUCUGCGUGAGUGGUCAUAAAUAGAUGCUGUUGCCAGGAAACUACAGCCGCUUAUUGACUCAGGGCCUUUGAAAACAGGUCGCCUACGCCAAGAACGAAACGAUAUAUUAGUAACAGGCGUUCACUUGAACAAAACAAAAACUUAGAAAUUGAGGUCACAGAAAAACAACAAAGAAAGCGGAAUUUGCCGAGGGGACAGUAUGCAACAAAUUGUCUACAUUGUAACAUAUCGUGCCAUGUCAACUUCACAUGUUCCAUUGCAUAUAAAGCUAAAUGUAGAGUUAGCAAUGUUAAUGGCUAUUGUAAUUUUUGUCCUGGUAAAUGUCAUUGGCAAAAUCAUGCUACUACUCCAUGUUUGAAAGGGUUACUGUAAAGGUGAAGAAAACUUAUCCGGAAAUGCAACAAAAAUAUUUUGAACAAACUCAAAAACUGUUUUCGCAAGAAAUUCUCGUCAAGAAUCUAAAACAAGAAAGCACAAGGUCUGGUGGCUGAAUUUCAAAAAUAUACGAACAGACUAAAAUAAAUACUAGUAGGUUUGCAAGGAAACCCUUUCAUGAUGUUAGAAGAGUAUAUAGAUGUAUUACUUUAAAAUGAGAAAUUAGAAAGGAAUAUCACUUUUAAAGAAAAUGCAGUUUCAUGCUUCAGUAUUUUGAACAGUUUUCAACUAGUGGUGCCCAAAUGUCGGACAGUGCGAUUUGGUGACAGGAGCUUUCAGACAGGAGCUGCGAGGUUAUGGAAUGCCCUCCCAUCUGGCAUAAGAGAGUGCAAGACCUUGCAAAGUUUCAAAAAAGCGCAAAAGACGCAUUAUUUCAUACAAUUCUUUGGGAACUAAUCUCACUAAUUACCUGGUAGAAUAAUGUAGGUACUUUGCCGGCCAAUCAAUGACUCUAAUCAAGAACUCUAGUGUGACAGAAUAAUAUGGACAGUGUUUUUUUCCUUGGGAUGUACAUGUAUCAUAGAUGUUCUCUGGACCGUUUAGGUUGGGAUUUACCCCAUCAUCCGGGGCAGUUUGCAUGCUGUGAUGCAUUUUACAGGCAUCAAACUGGUUAAUUAUGUCUGUUUAACAUGUAACAUAUCUUCUGUUCUAUUCUGCUCUAACCUGUGUCUUUGAUAGGUCAGUUAAUUUUUACGCUAUGUAUUUUGUUUCAUGUUUUGAUCUGUUUACUUUUAAUUUAAAACGCUAUGUAUCUUAUUACCGUAAUGUAAUUUUAAAUUCAUUCUGUAAUAGUUAAAUUACCAUAUUUAUUGAACAUUAUAUAAAUGCU